rnacentral:rRNA from 1 species
CCCGCACAAGCGGAGGAACAUGUGGUUUAAUUCGAUGAUACGCGAGGAACCUUACCUGGGCUUAAAUGGGGAGUGACAGCUGUCGAAAGAUGGUUUUCUUCGGACACUCUUCAAGGUGCUGCAUGGUUGUCGUCAGCUCGUGCCGUGAGGUGUCGGGUUAAGUCCCAUAACGAGCGCAACCCUUACCGUUGGUUACCAUCAGGUUAAGCUGGGGACUCUAGCGGGACUGCCACCGUAAGGUGAGAGGAAGGUGGGGAUGACGUCAAAUCAGCACGGCCCUUAUGUCCAGGGCUACACACGUGUUACAAUGGCCGGUACAAAGGGCAGCUACUUCGCGAGAAGAUGCUAAUCUCGAAAGCCGGUCUCAGUUCGGAUCGAAGUCUGCAACCCGACUUCGUGAAGCUGGAUUCGCUAGUAAUCGCGCAUCAGCCAUGGCGCGGUGAAUACGUUCCCGGGCCUU